UACGAAGGGGGGCUAGCGUUGCUCGGAAUCACUGGGCGUAAAGCGCACGUAGGCGGCUUUUUAAGUCAGGGGUGAAAUCCUGGAGCUCAACUCCAGAACUGCCUUUGAUACUGAGGAUCUUGAGUUCGGGAGAGGUGAGUGGAACUGCGAGUGUAGAGGUGAAAUUCGUAGAUAUUCGCAAAGAACACCAGUGGCGGAAGGCGCUCACUGGCCCGAUACUGACGCUGAGGCACGGAAAGCGUGGGGAGCAAACAGG
rnacentral:rRNA from 1 species